rnacentral:lncRNA from 1 species
AUGAACCCCAACCUUACAUUAGGAACAAGAACGUGUGCCACCUCCAUCAGCAAGAGCACUGCCCAAGGCCGGCGGGCUCCUGUCAUCUGCUCCACUCCUACCAGGAAGAUGGGGGACUGCGGACUGCUGCUCUGUUGGCAAGGAAAAGCCCAGGGCUGGAAUCCAUGCUGGGCAGGGAACAAGCCCAGAGGCUUGGAGACAUUGGAUCACAGAAAACACAGCUUCCAGCCCCUUUCCUUGCUCCACACCUUUAAUUGCUUCUCUUGUCUGGCUGAGCAAAUCCAUUCUUCUCCUAAUGAUGACUUCGCUUCACACAGUCCAUCAUUCAGCUCUGUCUGCAGCAUCAAUGAUUCCCCAGGCCCUCAAUCUCCUUCCCAUGGUGCCUGCUGGUACAUUCUCGUGCACACACAUUUGAGGCCCACCUUUCAGUGGAACACAGCUUCAGGUCAGGGGUCAGUCCACAGUUGGCCACUCUCGCUUCCCUCUCCAGGAGCAGAGCUCACCUCCCACGGGAGGAAGGCACCCCUCCGUUCUGAGUGCACAGCUGUUUGCCUUCAGAGCCUCCAGUGGCAGUGACAUGGAUUUAGGGAGAAGUAAGGAGCAAGAAAUCUGAAAACUGUGGCAUCCACAUGAAGGGCUGUGAACAAUCAGUACAUGUCAGCCCCAGUGGGCAGAUGGUUUCUUCUGUCCACUGGGCAGGAUGUGGACAUAGCAUUGGAAACCCCCUGCUUGUCCUGUGCAUAUAGAGAGGUCCAGGACCCUGACCAGCCCACUCUGGUGGGCUGAGGUAGCAGAGGCUCUGGGGUAGAUCCAGACCUGGAGCCCGGAGGAAAGUUAAUGAGACUCAAACUAGCAGCCACCGUGGAAGUCGGAGCAUCAGCCAUACACCGAUGAAUGAGCAGCUGCAGCAGUGCUCCACGUUCCGGAAGCAGUGGCACAAAUGCCUGCUGUGUCACACUUUUAUCUUCCUCAACACAGACACCAACACUCCAUAGCAGGACUUGACUGCUCCAUAACAAAAUUAUCAAUUACUCAUAAUUAUCAUUUUCAG